rnacentral:rRNA from 1 species
UACGGAGGGUGCAAGCGUUGUCCGGAAUCACUGGGCGUAAAGGGCGCGUAGGCGGACGGCUUUGUCGGGCGUGAAAUUCCAGGGCUUAACCUUGGGGCUGCGUUCGAGACGGGUUGUCUAGAGUUUGGAAGAGGGUCGUGGAAUUCCCAGUGUAGAGGUGAAAUUCGUAGAUAUUGGGAAGAACACCGGUGGCGAAGGCGGCGACCUGGUCCUUGACUGACGCUGAGGCGCGAAAGCGUGGGGAGCAAACAGG